rnacentral:tRNA from 1 species
AGGAACUAGUCUAAAACAAGACCUCUAACUUCGGCCUAGAAAAUCACAACUAGACUUGUGGUUCCAA